AUUUCACUAGGAGUCGCAAUCGCAACCACUCAUAAACUCGAGACUUCGGUGUUCCUUCCUCCUAAUCUCUUACGCUCGUCAACACUUGGAUAAUCGGAAGACUUAGCAAUUUUGAGUCGCAAUCGCAACCACUCAUAAACUCGAGACUUCGGUGUUCCUUCCUCCUAAUCUCUUACGCUCGUCAACACUUGGAUAAUCGGAAGACUUAGCAAUUUUGUUGAUGAUGACGAUGCUAUGAAAAGAAGUAGCGUUGAUGCCU